rnacentral:snRNA from 1 species
GGAUGUGAGGGCGAUCUGGCUGUGACAUGUGUCACCCCAGUGAGCCCCAAGGUUGAUUCGGCUGUUCUGGCUGGCUAGGCAGGGGUCCCCUUCCUCACUCACUACUCUGUGUGCAUCCCUCCCAUAGCUGCGUGCUCAGUGGAUGAGCACGACCUUCCCUGAUGACAGAGGGUCACUGUGUGGUCAAGGGUAUACCAGUAGCCACGCUUUCCUGCUAAAACCUCCAAAUAAGCUCUCAAGGCCCACUUGUAGGAGAAUGUAGCGGGUGUCUGAGACUCUAAGAAAUACCUAA